rnacentral:rRNA from 1 species
UACCGAGGGUGCGAGCGUUAAUCGGAAUUACUGGGCGUAAAGGGCGCGUAGGCGGUUUAUUAAGUUGGAUGUGAAAUCCCUGGGCUUAACCUAGGAAUGGCAUCUGAUACUGAUAGGCUUGAGUGCGGUAGAGGGUAGUGGAAUUUCCGGUGUAGCGGUGAAAUGCGUAGAUAUCGGAAGGAACACCAGUGGCGAAGGCGGCGAUCUGGGUAGAUACUGACGCUGAGGUGCGAAAGCGUGGGGAGCAAACAGG